AAAUGACGGUACCUGACUAAGAAGCACCGGCUAAAUACGUGCCAGCAGCCGCGGUAAUACGUAUGGUGCAAGCGUUAUCCGGAUUUACUGGGUGUAAAGGGAGCGCAGGCGGUGCGGCAAGUCUGAUGUGAAAGCCCGGGGCUCAACCCCGGUACUGCAUUGGAAACUGUCGUACUAGAGUGUCGGAGGGGUAAGCGGAAUUCCUAGUGUAGCGGUGAAAUGCGUAGAUAUUAGGAGGAACACCAGUGGCGAAGGCGGCUUACUGGACGAUAACUGACGCUGAGGCUCGAAAGCGUGGGGGAGCAAACCAGGGGAUUUA
rnacentral:rRNA from 1 species